GAUGAACGCUGGCGGCGUGCCUAAUACAUGCAAGUCGAGCGAACGGACGAGAAGCUUGCUCCUCUGAUGUUAGCGGCGGACGGGUGAGUAACACGUGGAUAACCUACCUAUAAGACUGGGAUAACUUCGGGAAACCGGAGCUAAUACCGGAUGAUAUUUUGAACCGCAUGGUUCAAAAGUGAAAGACGGUCUUGCUGUCACUUAUAGAUGGAUACGCGCUUCAUUAGCUAGUUGGUAAGGUAACGGCUUACCAAGGCAACGAUGGAUAACCGACCUGAGGGGGUGGAUCGACAGCCUGGAAGUGAGGAAGAGUCCAGACUCCGACGGGAAGAAGCGGUAGGGAAUCUUCCGGGAUGGGGCAGAGCCUGAUGUAGGAACGCCGCCGAAAGGAUGAAGGACCUAGGAUGGGUGAAUUCUGAUAGUAGGAGAGUAGUAAAGUUUUAUUAACCGGGCUCAUCAUGACGGUACCGAAACAAAAAGCCCCGGCUAACUACGUG
rnacentral:rRNA from 1 species